UGGGGAAUAUUGCGCAAUGGGGGCAACCCUGACGCAGCCAUGCCGCGUGAAUGAAGAAGGCCUUCGGGUUGUAAAGUUCUUUCGGUGACGAGGAAGGCGUGAUGUUUAAUAGGCAUCACGAUUGACGUUAAUCACAGAAGAAGCACCGGCUAACUCCGUGCCAGCAGCCGCGGUAAUACGGAGGGUGCGAGCGUUAAUCGGAAUAACUGGGCGUAAAGGGCACGCAGGCGGCUAUUUAAGUGAGGUGUGAAAUCCCCGGGCUUAACCUGGGAAUUGCAUUUCAGACUGGGUAGCUAGAGUACUUUAGGGAGGGGUAGAAUUCCACGUGUAGCGGUGAAAUGCGUAGAGAUGUGGAGGAAUACCGAAGGCGAAGGCAGCCCCCUGGGAUAACACUGACGUUCAUGCUCGAAAGCGUGGGUAGCAAACAGGAUUAGAUACCCUGGUAGUCCACGCCCUAAACGAUGUCAAUUAGCUGUUGGGCAACUUGAUUGCUUAGUAGCGUAGCUAACGCGUGAAAUUGACCGCCUGGGGAGUACGGUCGCAAGAUUA
rnacentral:rRNA from 1 species